UACGAAGGGGACUAGCGUUGUUCGGAAUCACUGGGCGUAAAGCGCACGUAGGUGGAUUUGUAAGUCAGGGGUGAAAUCCCGGGGCUCAACCUCGGAACGUGCCUUUGAUACUGCAAGUCUUGAGUCCGAUAGAGGUGGGUGGGAAUUCCGUAGUGUAGAGGUGAAAUUCGUAGAUAUUAGGAAGAACACCGGGUGGCGAAGGCGGCCCACUGGAUCGGUACUGACGACU
rnacentral:rRNA from 1 species